rnacentral:rRNA from 1 species
CCUACGGGGGGCUGCAGUGGGGAAUAUUGGACAAUGGGGGCAACCCUGAUCCAGCCAUGCCGCGUGUGUGAAGAAGGCCCUCGGGUUGUAAAGCACUUUCAGUGAGGAAGAACGCCUGGUGGUUAAUACCCAUCAGGAAAGACAUCACUCACAGAAGAAGCACCGGCUAACUCCGUGCCAGCAGCCGCGGUAAUACGGAGGGUGCGAGCGUUAAUCGGAAUUACUGGGCGUAAAGCGCGCGUAGGUGGCUUGAUAAGCCGGUUGUGAAAGCCCCGGGCUCAACCUGGGAACGGCAUCCGGAACUGUCAAGCUAGAGUGCAGGAGAGGAAGGUAGAAUUCCCGGUGUAGCGGUGAAAUGCGUAGAGAUCGGGAGGAAUACCAGUGGCGAAGGCGGCCUUCUGGACUGACACUGACACUGAGGUGCGAAAGCGUGGGUAGCAAACAGGAUUAGAUACCCCUAGUAGUC